rnacentral:siRNA from 1 species
UGUUGACCUCCCGAAUUUGGUGAA